rnacentral:rRNA from 1 species
UACGUAGGGUGCAGGCGUUAAUCGGAAUUACUGGGCGUAAAGCGUGCGCAGGCGGUUUGCUAAGACAGGUGUGAAAUCCCCGGGCUUAACCUGGGAACUGCGCUUGUUACUGGCAAGCUUGAGUGUGGCAGAGGGGGGUGGAAUUCCACGUGUAGCAGUGAAAUGCGUAGAGAUGUGGAGGAACACCGAUGGCGAAGGCAGCCCCCUGGGCCAAUACUGACGCUCAUGCACGAAAGCGUGGGGAGCAAGCAGG